CUGGGAACACAAGAAAAAAUGUUACAUUUGCCUACAGUCAAUAACCAACCUCAAUAGUGUCAAUUGAUUUGAUGAAAGCCUCUUCACCCUUUGUGUCAGAGAAAUUGUGUUGUUGAGGUUGUUGCGCUGGGCAGAGCGGAAGAAGAAACUGCCAUUUCUGUUCUGGGCACAGAUAAAAACCAUAGAUGUUCCCUAUUCAUAGAGGAGAGGGAGAGCAUGGGUUACAGACAAUCAUUAUUACCUCUACUACAACAGCAAUUGAAUGUCCAACGAAAGGUCCCUUAAUGUCUUGUCUUUGGGAAGAAGUCCAAAAAGUUAUAAUUAUGUGGUUAUGGGUUCACCUUGUUUUUCUGAUUGUGUGUGUGCGCAUGUGUUACCUCUGUCUCGUUGGCAGUCAGUCCUAGAGCAAUGUAUCCACUGGAGUCCCCAACGAGCUCAACUAACAGGUCUACUCCAUUAGGAGAAGAGGGGGCGGUGGUGACUAUGGAAGCGAAGAGGCAGCCUGUUUCUCCUGUAGGAUCACAUUGUUCUGGGGUCUCUACACACAGUUUAAUUAAUCCACAGCCUGUCCGUGUGAUAUGCACCUGUCAAACCACACACAGCAAAUCUAGUUCAAGUUAUGCACACACACACAUAAGUUAAUUUCAAAAUCUACAUUUGUGGGCUGUUGACUCAUUGACAUACCACUUUGACUUCUAAAAUCAUCUGACAAAUUUUGAUUUGGGAGUGAACUAUGACUUUAAGUUAGGAUCUGGGGCCGGAUUCACAAAAUGUUCUUAAGAAACGUAUUCUUAACUGCCAUUUUUUCCUUAACUAUAGACUUAAGAAGAAAAUUAAGCAAAGUUGCUAUUCCUCAAUAAAGUAAUUGGAAAUGUUCUUAAGGUUUUUCCUAAGUUUCUUCCUAAGAAAAAAGUUAAGAAGAAAUGGGAUUCUUGAAAAUAAUGCUUUAGGAUUUCUUAUUUGAAAUGUACUGAACUUUAGGACAGCUAAACCCUUGUCUUGAGACGACUAGAUACUUUUGUAAACAGCUGGUAUGUAAAUACAGCAAGAAAACAAAUUAAACGUGCAUUAUCUAGCUAGCUGGUGUUGCUGGAAAGAGUAGAUUGAGAACCUUACCUCCGUAUUAUUGGCAAACGAGAGAUGUCCGUUUCCACUAACACCUGGAGCCAGACAGCCCAUCACCAUAGAG
rnacentral:lncRNA from 1 species